CGGCGGCUCAUGCAGCAUUUUGUUUGGCCUUGGUUUGUCAAGUUUAAGGAGGAUGACGGCGUGUGGCACAUUGUAUUCCUCCGACAGCUCUUCUCCUUUGGUUACUUGAUUUGUAAAUGAGGAGCCGGUCAUUUUAGUACAGAGAGAUGACGGCUUGAGAUAUGGGCCCAGCACCAUCAUUGGCCGCAAGAAUUUGCUCCCUAGAAGCGGAAAUGUCAACAUGCAUAUUUUCCCAUCACGUGACGAAUUGAUAAAAGCACAAUAUUUUGGAUGUCCAUGCAAUCCAACAAUUGAAUGCACUAUUUUGCUCACCCAUGAGAAGCAACCAAAGAUCAUAC